GACGAACGCUGGCGGCGUGCCUAAUACAUGCAAGUAGAACGCUGAAGGAGGAGCUUGCUCUUCUGGAUGAGUUGCGAACGGGUGAGUAACGCGUAGGUAACCUGCCUGGUAGCGGGGGAUAACUAUUGGAAACGAUAGCUAAUACCGCAUAACAGUAGAUGUUGCAUGACAUUUGCUUAAAAGGUGCAAUUGCAUCACUACCAGAUGGACCUGCGUUGUAUUAGCUAGUUGGUGGGGUAACGGCUCACCAAGGCGACGAUACAUAGCCGACCUGAGAGGGUGAUCGGCCACACUGGGACUGAGACACGGCCCAGACUCCUACGGGAGGCAGCAGUAGGGAAUCUUCGGCAAUGGACGGAAGUCUGACCGAGCAACGCCGCGUGAGUGAAGAAGGUUUUCGGAUCGUAAAGCUCUGUUGUAAGAGAAGAACGAGUGUGAGAGUGGAAAGUUCACACUGUGACGGUAUCUGACCAGAAAGGGACGGCUAACUACGUG
rnacentral:rRNA from 1 species